UAUGUGAUCGUCUCUCGCAUAUCAAUAAGCGGAGGAAAAGAAACUAACAAGGAUUCCCCUAGUAACGGCGAGUGAAGCGGGAAGAGCUCAAAUUUGAAAUCUUAAAGGGUUUCCCUUUACGAAUUGUAGUUUAAAGAAGUGUUUUCUGUUGAGGUUUUGGUAAAAGUUCUUUGGAAUAGGACAUCAUAGAGGGUGAGAAUCCCGUAUUUGACCUUUACUUUCAACUUUGUGAUACACUUUCAAAGAGGUCGGAUUGUUUGGGAAUGCAGUCCAAAAUGGGUGGUAAAUUUCAUCUAAAGCUAAAUAUUGGCGAGAGACCGAUAGCGAACAAGUACCGUGAGGGAAAGAUGAAAAGAACUUUGAAGAGAGAGUUAAACAGUACGUGAAAUUGUCAAAAGGGAAGCGUUUGACACCAGUGUUGUUUUUCUGAAAAUCAAUUAAAGAACUGUUUAUGCUAAGUUGUUUAGACUUUAUCAGCUAAUCUGCUUAGCUUUGAGCUUUCUUUAAUGCACUUUUCAGUUAACAAGUCAACAUCAAUUUCUUUUGCUGUAAAAAAGCUUGAGGAAGGUGGCUUGAGAUUCGUCUUAAGUGUUUAUAGCCUCUUGCCUAUGCAGUCGGAGAGAUUGAGGUCUGCAGCGUAGAUCCUUCGGGGCUAAAUGCAUUUGUGCUAAGUUAUAGCAUUUUAUAGACAACUUGUUGACUAUGACUUGUCUUGUAGCUUACUCGCUUAUGUUAUUUUACCUACGCUUAGGAUGUUGAUCUACAGAGCGAGAGU
rnacentral:rRNA from 1 species